rnacentral:rRNA from 1 species
AGCGAACGCUGGCGGCAGGCCUAACACAUGCCAGUCGAACGAACCUUUCGGGGUUAGUGGCGGACGGGUGAGUACCACGUGGGAACGUGCCUUUAGGUUCGGAAUAACUCAGGGAAACUUGUGCUAAUACCGAAUGUGCCCUUCGGGGGAAAGAUUUAUCGCCUUUAGAGCGGCCCGCGUCUGAUUAGCUAGUUGGUUGAGGUAAUGGCUCACCAAGGCGACGUUCAGUAGCUGGUCUGAGAGGAUGAUCAGCCACAUUGGGACUGAGACACGGCCCAAACUCCGACGGGAGGCAGCAGUGGGGAAUCUUGCGGAAUGGGCGAAAGCCUGACGAAGCCAUGCCGCGUGAAUGAUGAAGGUCUUAGGAUUGUAAAAUUCUUUCACCGGGGACGAUAAUGACGGUACCCGGAGAAGAAGCCCCGGCUAACUUCGUG